AGUCUGUCCUCACUUGUUUCUCCUGGUUCCAGGAUAUCUCGAGCCCUAGUGGGUCAAGGCGUGAGGACUGGAUUUAGGGCAGUGGAAAUGAAAGGGGAAAAAAAAAAAAGGUUCAAACCUUCAAGAGACUUCUGAAAACAUUAUUAGCAUGGAUUUAAGAUAUGCCUCUUCUCGUUAAGGCAGUGUCACAUCUCUGGAUCAUGUUUGGCCAAGUCUUUCCAUUUUUGUGACAGAUACUAAGUAUAAAAUUGAUGAAAACCAUAGAAGAGAGAAAGCUCAGGGGUUACAUGAGGCAACCGACUACAUCAAAUUUGUAAAUUGAAAAACUAAUUAUUUCUUCAAGUGAUUAUUUUCUGAGCUCACUCAAAACCAUCAUCUAUGGAGCACCCAAUCAGUUCCAAAUAACAGGGUUUGAGAUUUUACUGGAUUCAAGACAUCGUGUUUAUCAUUUAUCAUUUAUGGUGUGUUUGUUUUUCGGAGGAAUAAAUCAGCCUGGAAUCAAAUGUUUACAUUCAUUUUUCAGCUAUCUCCUGGCUUAACUAUCACUGAUGUCUAUACCGAAGCAGGGAACUGCACAGUUAAAAAAAAAACAUCUUGUCUGUCUAUGCAUAGAGUGUUCUUUCUUUUCAGGGUACUAGCAUUCACCAGGGUACUGGUCUUGAGAUCCAAAAAGAGAAUCUACCCAGAUCCUAUCAGGAAAAUCUGCUUUAUAAUUCCCUGAAGCCAUACACAACAGAUGCUCCAUUAUAUAUAACCUGGAUUCUUGAAAUAAAACAUGACUGAAUUCAAAGAACAUUUAGGUAAACCUGGGUGACCUGAUUACACUGUUUUAACACUCUAACUAAGGUCGAGGGCUGCCCAUGAUUUCAUCAUAAAUUAGGCAAGUAUUUGAGGGAAAUUCUUAAAAAAGAACGGCAUGUCCUCACGUACGGAUCAGCAAGUGAGCAAUGUUCCUGCUGUGCUUUAGAAAGAGGUGCCAGCUCGAUGAGAUGCUGUCGACAUGACAGAAAGCCACCUGCUGCCAAUUUCUACUUCCCAGUAUGAAAACCAGUCUUCUCACGGAUUAUCGCUGCUGGUAGGAGACAGAAAAUUGCCCCUGCCCUUGCUGACUGUGGUUAACUGGUCGGGGAGCUUCGUAUCCUGGGUCUUGGAAAAUUCAGAGGGGUACAAAGACACAAAUGACAGGAAGAGGUCGGGACACCCUGUGACAAUGGAGAACACAGCUACGCAUUCUACAUACUCAUCUGGCAUGAGAGCUACCAGUGGAAUUCAUGCCCAGAAAGUUUCAGAGGGACCCUCAAGGGUAGCUUUUUACCAGGUUCCAAGGAUGCUUCAGGCAACUUCCCAACAUCUACAGCAGUAUCAUCUGCAGGUGGCUUCCUGGCGGCUUUCCAGUGAGUCCUACUGAUGCCACAGCCAAUUCCCCGCGCCUGGGUAGCUCAGUCAGUUAAGCGUCCGACUUCAGCUCAGG